UGCUACCUUUUCUUCGCGUCUCCGGCAGCUUAUCUGGGUUUUGUACUCCACCUCACAACCUUGCCGGCUAACGAGUCAGUUGACUCAGCAAACGAGUUAAUAGUACCUAGUUACGCCAAACCUAUUCCUUCAAACACCCUUCCAACGUUCUGUAUCAAGAAAGACGAAUUUGGUUACUCGAGAUUUGUAAGUCACGCGCUAAGGUACAAAGAGACGAAGGGUAUUAUUGUAAAUACCUUCCAAGAGCUCGAACCCUACUCCAUUGACUCUCUGUCUUCCAGUUACAUGGAUUUGCCACCAAUUUACCCGGUUGGACCGAUAAUUGAUCAUGUUGGACCGGCUAAGUGGCACUCAAACCGUUCUAGGCAUGAAAAAACCAUCG
rnacentral:lncRNA from 1 species